rnacentral:rRNA from 1 species
GAUGAACGCUGGCGGCGUGCCUAAUACAUGCAAGUCGAGCGAACAGACGAGGAGCUUGCUCCUCUGACGUUAGCGGCGGACGAGUGAGUAACACGUGGAUAACCUACCUAUAAGACUGGGAUAACUUCGGGAAACCGGAGCUAAUACCGGAUAAUAUAUUGAACCGCAUGGUUCAAUAGUGAAAGACGGUUUUGCUGUCACUUAUAGAUGGAUCCGCGCCGCAUUAGCUAGUUGGUAAGGGAACGUCUUACCAAGGCAACGAUGCGUAGCCGACCUGAGAGGGGGAUCGGCCACACUGGAACUGAGACACGGUCCAGACUCCUACGGGAGGCAGCAGUAGGGAAUCUUCCGCAAUGGGCGAAAGCCUGACGGAGCAACGCCGCGUGAGUGAUGAAGGUCUUCGGAUCGUAAAACUCUGUUAUUAGGGAAGAACAAAUGUGUAAGUAACUAUGCACGUCUUGACGGUACCUAAUCAGAAAGCCACGGCUAACUACGUG